CAAGUGACCAUAGGUGUGUGAGUU
rnacentral:piRNA from 1 species